ACAGUUUUCUUUUGCAAACCUCGUAAAAAUCUCACCUUUGUUCCACUCCAGAGUCCAGUCACCACCUACCACCACCAUCACCAUCAACACCAUCAAAAUGCCCACUACCACCGCCGCGGAACCACCAGGCUUAGCCCUAGGCUUUCUCCCAUUCGUAGACAUGACAACACUUUCCCAAUCAGAACUUCGCGCUCUAUCUCUCUGCUCUUCUUCUUCCUUUGACCCUCGCCGGACCGAUGACGUCGUGACUCCUGUCAUUGAUCGCUCAAGCUUCAAUGAAAGUGCCGGCUCCCGCCGACAGACCUAUUCGCGCCUUUCCUCCCACCACCACCACCACCGCCACCGUCUAGCUGGUGUCCUUUCCAAAACCCCAAAUCCCCCAAGUUCAAGUCCUCCUUUCAAUAAUCCCACAACCGACUCCGAUUACCUCGAAAAUCACUCUAUUAUUAGUUACCUUAAGCAAUUUCUUUCUACUCAUCCCGAAUUCGAACAAUUAGAUUUAGUAGAUUUUGAUACCUUUAGCCAUCUCAAUGAAGCUAUUAAUUUCACUUCGCACCAAUUAUCACUAGGGGCAGCAGUAGAAGCGCCAGUGGUAAAUGGGAACUUCAAAAUUGGGGAAAGAAAGAGGAAAAGAGGAAGAAAGCCGAAAGUGAAAGUCUUGAAUGCGGAAGAGAGAAGGAAGGCAAUGAGUGUGGAGAUUCUGAACAAAAACGGGGUUGCAGUAGACUUGGUGAGAUUGGCUGGUAUGGAGGAUCCAUACAGAGAGGAAUUGAGUAGGAGAACCCAAGGGAUGGAUAAAGAAGAAGAGUUGUUGGGAUUUUUCAGGGAUUUAGAGGGGCAGUGGUGUAGUAGGAGAAGGAAGAGAAAAAUUGUUGAUGCAAGUGAGUUUGGUGAUACAUUACCAGUUGGUUGGAAGCUACUGCUUGGGCUCAAGAGGAAAGAAGGCCGUGCUUGGGUUUAUUGCCGUAGAUAUUUAAGCCCCGGUGGACAACACUUUGUAUCCUGUAAGGAAGUCUCGGCAUACUUGCAAUCAUGCUUUGGAUCUUGUGAUACACAACAAGUGACGCAUAAUGCGGGUGGGAACAUUCAGCAGGUCCACAUUGUAGCUUCUGACAGUUAUAUGCAACAGUAUGCAGGUACUACUGGGAAAGCGGAAGGUCAGAGGCAAUCUAGUGAACGUGAGAAGGCUGUUGCCUUGCUGGGAAUUGAUAAUAUGGAGUUGGCAGAGGUUCAAAUACAUGACCUUUUUGAAUGCCACAAAUGUAACAUGACAUUUGAUGACAGGGACACAUAUCUGCAGCACCUUUUGUCAUUUCACCAGAGAACUACAAGGAGGUAUAGACUUGGUUCUUCUGUUGGUGAUGGUGUAAUAGUUAAAGAUGGAAAAUACGAAUGCCAGUUCUGCCAUAAGGUAUUUCACGAAAGGCGUCGGUAUAAUGGUCAUGUUGGAAUCCAUGUGAGGAAUUAUGUGAGAGGGAUUGAAGAAUCUCCUCUUGACAGAAUGGCUUUGCAAAAGAGAAAUGAGUCUCCUAACAAAGAUGAAUUGCCUGCAAAAAUAUCCAAAAUGGAUGCAUUGAUUGAAAUAGCUCAGAAUUCUAUUCGAGAAACAGAAUCUCCUGUUCCUAAUUAUGAACCCAAUGGUGGGUUUACAUCUAAUCAACAGAAUCUAGCUCCUAGUGAAGAACUUCUGGCUUCAGUUUCUGAUUCUGAACUGAAAUCUGAUUCUUCUCUCAGUGAACUGGAUUUGGAAUAUGGCAUGAUUGAUAAAUCUCAGGAAUUAGAGUUACAAAAAAGUGAUCAUGUGAUUGAUAGAAGGAUGGGGAUCAUUGAUGAUGCUACUAAUAUUCUAGAUGUUGAGGUAGAUUCUUCAUUUGCUAAUGAGCAAUGUGGUAAUACGUCUAAAGCUCUUGGUGCAACAGAUUGUCUGGCAGUCUGCGCUGAUGAAAUGGAAAAGUCAGUCAUUGAGCAGGAAAGAGGUACUGACUGCCAUUCCCUUUCUCCAUUGAGCAGUCAGAAAACUUGUAGCAUUGAUAAUAAUAUGAAUCUGGUUAAUACAGACAAACAAGACCAUAGUAAGACUGAUAAAGUGGAUAAAACAAAGAGCGCUGAGAUAGACAUUGGCUUUGGAAGUAAGAACAGUGCUGCAGAUAAUAAUAUUGUACAAGAUGCUGUACAUCAACCUUUCGAAGAAGAUGGACUUCAGCGUGGAAGUCCAGAACCAGUGGUAUCUGGAUUACAACCAUGCCAUGGUUUUUCGGCGCCCAAUGUGAACUUGGAUAAGGUAGAAAAUGAAUUUUGUUCGGUGAACCAGAGGGAGGACAAAAUAACCGGAUUUGAGGAGUUAAGGUUGGAGGAUAUUGAACAACUUAAAUUUAGUUUUGGGACGGGCCAAGAACCUCUCUCUCUGCCUGAGGGAACAAUCAAUAUGGAAAACAAUCCUGAGGUGGAAGGGGCAUAUGAUACCUCAGUUCAGUUUGAAUCAGAGGUUGUAGAUACAACUGAUGCACAACAGUUUACAACUGUUUGUGUAUGGUGUGGAGUGGAGUUCAGCCAUGAGGCUGUUGAUACUGAAAUGCAGUCAGAUUCAGUUGGUUAUAUGUGUCCGACAUGCAAGGCAAGAAUCUCCGGGCAGCUUGAUGUGCUGGGUGGUGGUCUCUCAUGAAUCUUUGAUGUGCUACUGAUUUUUAAUUCUGACAACAUUCGCUUCUGUUUUACUUCGGCAGCAGAUGGUGGAUGGAAGAUACUUGCAUUGGCAAAGUCCAGGACUAUUUGCGCUUGAAUUCUUGAAGAAAGGUUAUGAAAUCCCUUUUCUCCCACUUCACACCUCGGAACGCACCUCGGAACGCACCGUUCUUACCGAACCCCUAUUGAAAGACAUCAGGUGAUACAUAUAUAUUUGAUGAAGCUGAUGUGUGUUCUUCCAUGGAUUGAAGGGUAGAGCUAGAGUACUGGAUUCUUCUUGCAUUAUGCUCUGGUGGAAUAAAGAUAUUAAGGGAUGAGAAUUUUUUUUUUUUUUUUUAAAAAAAAGAUAAAGAUAAAGUUGUAGGUAAGCAUAUGAAAUGUACAAUUAAUGGUAAUACAUUUUGAUGAUUAACAUAUUUACUAUAAUCAAGAAAUUUUGGCUCUGAAA